AGACGUCUACAUUAGAUACCCGGGUAGUCCCAGCCGUAAACAAUGUGCGUUAGGUGUGUCGGUAACCACGUGUUACUGAUGCGCCGAAGAGAAAUCGUGAAACGCACCACCUGGGAAGUACGGUCGCAAGGCUGAAACUUAAAGGAAUUGGCGGGGGAGCACCACAACAGGUGGAGCCUGCGGUUUAAUUGGAUUCAACGCCGGACAUCUCACCGGAUAAGACAGCUGAAUGAUUGUCAAUCUGAAGGUUUUACAUGACUAGCUG
rnacentral:rRNA from 1 species